GACCCAAUAUCUACCUAUGCUUAUGCCAUUAACCCAAGCUUCGCCCUUUCCCAUAGAAUUAAGAUUCAAUGCAACAGGAUCGUUGCCUGGUGGUGUGUCAAAUACAGUCUGCGAAUCAGCAUCAAAACAAAAGGCAGUACCUGAUAUCCCCAGUUGUAGUUGGUGAAAUAUUUGUCCUGAACUCUCACACUUCGCAAUCCGGCCACCCUACGCUCAAGUGUUGAUUUUGAAAUGCCAGAAUCUGAGCAAUGGAGAUUUGAGCCUUACCUUAGCUGUAUUGAAGGCUGCAUUUAUGCAAUCUGGUAGGAUGCUUAUUGAUUUUGAAGGCAGUUCAUAAGAGGAAUUCUGAAAAACAACCAUGCUAUUUUUUCUGUCAUCAUUAUUUACUAGAAACGCAGCGCAUUUCCCUGAAUUUCCUUUGAAGACGUAGGCCUGAAAAUGCAGACCCAGAUCAUAAAUCGACCCAAAGGAAAACUUGUAUACUCUCCAGUAAGUAAUGGCUUGGAGCAUAGCUUUAUUGCAGCAUGUAAUUCCUUGAGGUGACCCCAUUUUGGUUCCCUGAUCAAUCCUGAAGUCAUAAACUAAAAAUGUUUAUAUCAUUUUUAAGUGUUUGAAUACAGUUAAAUCAUGAAAUAAGAUUAAACUUUACAGAAACA